rnacentral:rRNA from 1 species
UACGUAGGGUGCGAGCGUUGUCCGGAUUUAUUGGGCGUAAAGGGCUCGUAGGCGGCGUGUCGCGUCGGGAGUGAAAGCCCGUUGCUUAACGGCGGGUUGGCUUUCGGUACGGGCAUGCUGGAGUGCGGCAGGGGAGACUGGAAUUCCUGGUGUAGCGGUGGAAUGCGCAGAUAUCAGGAGGAACACCGGUGGCGAAAGCGCGUAACUGGGGCAUAACUGACGCUGAGGAACGAAAGCCAGGGGAGCGAAAGGG